UCUUGAUUCGUCUAGUGGUUAGGAUACCUGCUUGUCAUUUAUUUUCGACAAAAUACGCAGGUGGCCGGGGUUCAAUUCCCCGAUCGAGAG
rnacentral:tRNA from 1 species